AGUGAACGCUGGCGGUAGGCCUAACACAUGCAAGUCGAACGGCAGCACAGUAAUAGCUUGCUCUUACGGGUGGCGAGUGGCGGACGGGUGAGGAAUACAUCGGAAUCUACUUUUUCGUGGGGGAUAACGUAGGGAAACUUACUCUAAUACCGCAUACGACCUACGGGUGAAAGCAGUGGAUCUUCGGACCUUGCGCGAUUGAAUUAGCCGAUGUCGGAGUAGAUAGUUGGGGGGGUAAAGGCCCACCAAGGCGACGAUCCGUAGCUGGGCUGAGAGGAUGAUCAGCCACACUGGAAGUGAGCCACGGUCCAGACUCCUACGGGAGGCAGCAGUGGGGAAUAUUGGACAAUGGGCGCAAGCCUGAUCCAGCCAUACCGCGUGGGUGAAGAAGGCCUUCGGGUUGUAAAGCCCUUUUGUUGGGAAAGAAAAGCAGCAGGUUAAUACCCCGCUGUUCUGACGGUACCCAAAGAAUAAGCACCGGCUAACUUCGUG
rnacentral:rRNA from 1 species